UGUGCUGGACCAUGUAUAAGUCUCCUGGAACGGAGUGUCACAGAGGGUGAGAAUCCCGUGUUUGACAUGGACUGCCAGUGCAUUGUGGCGUGCUCUCAAAGAGUCGAGUUGUUUGGGAAUGCAGCUCUAAACGGGUGGUAAAUUCCAUCUAAAGCUAAAUAUUGGCGAGAGACCGAUAGCGAACAAGUACCGUGAGGGAAAGAUGAAAAGAACUUUGGAAAGAGAGUUAAACAGUACGUGAAAUUGUUGAAAGGGAAACAUUUAAAGUCAGUUGUGUUAGCUGGGGAUCAACCCUGGGGUUAUUGCCUUUGGGUGUAUUUCCUGGUUGACAGGUCAACAUCAUUUCUGACCAGUAGAAAAAGGGCAAGGAAAUGUGGCACCUUCGGGUGUGUUAUAGUCCUUGGUUGUAUCUGGUGGUUGGGACUGAGGGAUGCANCACACCNUAAGGGCCGUGGCCAUGUCAUUCAGUGGGCUGGCGACGUUUGUGCUUAAGAUGUUGGCAUAAUGGUUUUAAGUGACCCC
rnacentral:rRNA from 1 species